rnacentral:rRNA from 1 species
AGAGUUUGAUCCUGGCUCAGGACGAACGCUGGCGGCGUGCUUAACACAUGCAAGUCGAACGGAAAGGCCCCUUUGGGGGUGCUCGAGUGGCGAACGGGUGAGUAACACGUGGGUGAUCUGCCCUGCACUUCGGGAUAAGCUUGGGAAACUGGGUCUAAUACCGGAUAGGACCAUGGGAUGCAUGUCCUGUGGUGGAAAGCUUUUGCGGUGUGGGAUGGGCCCGCGGCCUAUCAGCUUGUUGGUGGGGUGAUGGCCUACCAAGGCGACGACGGGUAGCCGGCCUGAGAGGGUGUCCGGCCACACUGGGACUGAGAUACGGCCCAGACUCCUACGGGAGGCAGCAGUGGGGAAUAUUGCACAAUGGGCGCAAGCCUGAUGCAGCGACGCCGCGUGGGGGAUGACGGCCUUCGGGUUGUAAACCUCUUUCAGUGCCGACGAAGCGCAAGUGACGGUAGGCACAGAAGAAGCACCGGCCAACUACGUGCCAGCAGCCGCGGUAAUACGUAGGGUGCGAGCGUUGUCCGGAAUUACUGGGCGUAAAGAGCUCGUAGGUGGUUUGUCGCGUCGUUCGUGAAAACCGGGGGCUUAACCCUCGGCGUGCGGGCGAUACGGGCAGACUGGAGUACUGCAGUGGAGACUGGAAUUCCUGGUGUAGCGGUGGAAUGCGCAGAUAUCAGGAGGAACACCUGUGGCGAAGGCGGGUCUCUGGGCAGUAACUGACGCUGAGGAGCGAAAGCGUGGGGAGCGAACAGGAUUAGAUACCCUGGUAGUCCACGCCGUAAACGGUGGGUACUAGGUGUGGGUUUCCUUCUUGGGGAUCCGUGCCGUAGCUAACGCAUUAAGUACCCCGCCUGGGGAUUACGGUCGCAAGGUUAAUACUUAAAGAAUUGACGGGGGCCCGCACAAGCG